rnacentral:rRNA from 1 species
CCUACGGGAGGCAGCAGUGAGGAAUAUUGGUCAAUGGGCGCGAGCCUGAACCAGCCAAGUAGCGUGAAGGAAGACUGCCCUACGGGUUGUAAACUUCUUUUGACAGGGAAGAGCAGAAGACGGUACCUGUCGAAUAAGCGACGGCUAACUACGUGCCAGCAGCCGCGGUAAUACGUAGGUGGCAAUCGUUGUGCGGAUUUAAUGGGUGUAAAGGGUGAGUGGGCGGGCUGACAAGUCAGAUGUGAAAUCCCGGGGCUCAACCUCCGAACUGCAUUUGAAACUGUUGGUCUUGAGUGUCGGAGAGGUAGGCGGAAUUCCUAGUGUAGCGGUGAAAUGCGUAGAUAUUAGGAGGAACACCAGUGGCGAAGGCGGCCUGCUGGACGACAACUGACGGUGAGGCGCGAAAGCGUGGGGAGCAAACAGGAUUAGAUACCCGUGUAGUC